GACGAACCGUGCGAACGUUGUUCGGAAUCACUGGGCUUAAAGGGCGCGUAGGCGGGCCGCCAAGUCUGGAGUGAAAGCCCACGGCUCAACCGUGGAAGCGCUUCGGAUACUGGCGGCCUCGAGGGGUGCAGGGGCGUGCGGAACUUCCGGUGGAGCGGUGAAAUGCGUAGAUAUCGGAAGGAACACCGGUGGCGAAAGCGGCGCGCUGGACACCUACUGACGCUGAGGCGCGAAAGCCAGGGGAGCAAACGGG
rnacentral:rRNA from 1 species